rnacentral:rRNA from 1 species
UGAGUGCGAGUUGCUACGGCAACGAAGUUGGUGACGUCAAGCUUCCAAGAAAAGCCCUAUACCCGUUAAGGCAUCAUGGCCUGUACCCGAAACCGACACAGGUGGGGUGGUAGAGAAUACCGAGGGGCGCGAGGUAACUCUCUCUAAGGAACUCGGCAAAAUGGCCCCGUAACUUCGGGAGAAGGGGUGCCACCGCAAGGUGGUCGCAGUGAAGAGGCCCAGGCGACUGUUUACCAAAAACACAGGUCUCCGCUAAGUCGCAAGACGAUGUAUGGGGGCUGACGCCUGCCCAGUGCCGGAAGGUUAAGGAAGCCGGUUAGCGUAAGCGAAGCUGGCGACUGAAGCCCCGGUGAACGGCGGCCGUAACAAUAACGGUCCUAAGGUAGCGAAAUUCCUUGUCGGGUAAGUUCCGACCCGCACGAAAGGCGUAACGAUCUGGGCGCUGUCUCGGAGAGAGGCUCGGCGAAAUAGAAUUGUCUGUGAAGAUGCGGACUACGUGCACCCGGACAGAAAGACCCUAUGAAGCUUUACUGUAGCUUGGUAUUGUGCUCGGGCUCGGAAUGCGCAGGAUAGGUGGGAGGCUAUGAACCAUUGCUUGUGGGUGAUGGUGAGCCACUGGUGAGAUACCACUCUUUCCGAGCUAGAGUUCUAACGGCCACCCGUUAUCCGGGGGCCGGACAGUAUCAGGUGGGCAGUUUGACUGGGGCGGUCGCCUCCUUAAAGGUAACGGAGGCGCGCAAAGGUUUGCUCAGGCUGGUUGGAAAUCAGCCGACGAGUGUAAAAGCAGAAGCAAGCUUGACUGUGAGACCUACAAGUCGAACAGGGAGGAAACUCGGCUUUAGUGAUCCGACGGUUCUGCGUGGAAGGGCCGUCGCUCAACGGAUAAAAGUUACUCUAGGAUAACAGGCUGAUCUCCCCCAAGAGUUCACAUCGACGGGGAGGUUUGGCACCUCGAUGUCGGCUCAUCGCAACCUGGGGCUGAAGUCGGUCCCAAGGGUUGGGCUGUUCGCCCAUUAAAGCGGUACGCGAGCUGGGUUCAGAACGUCGUGAGACAGUUCGGUCCAUAUCCGGUGCAUGCGCAGGAAUAUUGAGAGGAUUUCUCCCUAGUACGAGAGGACCGGGAGGAACGCACCUCUGGUGUACCAGUUAUCGUGCCAACGGUAAACGCUGGGUAGCCAUGUGCGGAGAGGAUAACCGCUGAAAGCAUCUAAGUGGGAAGCCCACCUCAAGAUGAGUAUUCCCAUGGCGUUAGCCAGUAAGGUCACGGGAAGAACACCCGUUGAUAGGCUCUAUGUGGAAGCGCAGUAAUGCGUGAAGCAGAGGAGUACUAAUAGACCGAGGGCUUGAC